AUGGCUCAACCACCAGCUCCCAAGCCUAUUGACACAGACUAUGAGCGCCACAUCAGGAAGUUAAAUCGAGCACGUCUACGUAAGGAGGCGAGCUCGGGAUCGAGCAAACAAGAAGCAACUGUCAAAAAAUGCGGGAAAACCAUUCCCCAGCUGGGAGAACAGGCGGCGCAAUCGAUCCCCUCGCUUGUUGUGCCAACAACACGUGACAGUACGCGCGCCCAAUAUUAUUGUGGGCAAACAGUUUACGUUCCUGAGGUAGGCAAUGUGGUAAUAACGGAGGAGCAUAUAAUGCAGGCUGAAGUUCUCAAAAUCACUGUUGGACAACUCCUCGAGAUCGAGCCCAUGCCUGUGCUUAGAGAGGAUGAAAUAAAAUGGAAAUAUGUCCGGGGCCAAACUUUGGUCGAGCCAGACAAGGUCAAGAACCUCCCAAUGAGAAUGUAUGAAUUGCAUCAAUGGUACAUGAACAUUACCAAGAUUUCAGAUCCAUUGUCCCUCAUGGUGAAUGUCAAGGAGGAUCAUUACUUCCAUGAGAAAGUUGUGUUCGUUGAGUAUUCUGAACUGUUUCAGUUAUACAAUCAAGACGCACUCGACAAAUCUAUCAUCAGUUGCUAUUGUCUGUAA
rnacentral:rRNA from 1 species